UCUCUCUCUCUCUCUCUCUCUCUCUCUCUCUCUUACUCUCUUAUUCAGGUACUUAUCUAAUCUACGCUGAGGCCUAGCAGUGAUGAACUCGAACCACGGUUUUUUUUUUCCGAUACUCGGUUCCUAUGAAGAGAAAACAUUUCCGCGGAAAUCUUUUAACGAUCAGAAGCAGCUUAUCCUGACCCUCAGAGUUGGUUUUUUUUCCCUGCUUUAUUUUUAAACCUUCCAUUAAUUUUAGUACUUUAUGAAUGUUGUUCUUCUCGUUCCAGGACCACGGGCAGUUUGUUAGCACAGUCUUCAGCUGGCUUUCAUCUUUUCAUUUCUGAUUUCUCUUUUUUAACUUGGUAAAAAAAAAAAAAACACUCUCCAUCUUGUUGCCAAGUAUUUGUUUUGCUGCCUGCGACUCAGCUGAUGUCCAGGGUGUUUUUUCUUGGUCUGGAUGACCUCGGUGUCAUGAAGUAAGAACUGUACAAAGUCAAACCUUGUACUACGUUGUCGUUAGUACGAUUCCAGUUCAUGUUCCCGGUGGUUUUGGUAGUAACACGAUUAUGUUGUGAUAUAAAAAAUAAAUUGCUCUGAUUGGUUUGGAAACAGCUUGUGAUCUUUGGCGGAGCUCGGCGUCCAGAGGUUUGGACUCGAUGUUUGUUUUUCUUCGUCGUGACCGUUGUCCUGAUGAGGUUUCUAAUUCUUCGUAAUCUCGCCUCGGUUCUUAACGGGCGGCUGGACGCCCCGACGCAGGGCCUCCUGGGCCUUUUUUUUCCUCUCUUUUCCACUGAGAAUUUCUUUUUUGGGUUUGACAAUAUAUAUACCUCAUUCCUUCAGUCCAGCGGGCCCCAGGGGGCGCUGUGCCGAUGCUCAGGACGCUCAAGCCCCCUUUUUUAUGGUUUGGUCCCACAUGGACUGUACCUCGUACAAACGCUAAACACACAAACGCAUACACACUUACACACAGGUUCUCCUAAUACCCAGAUGGACCUCAUAUUUUCAAUAUCUACUGUUUACAGUUUGACAAAAACAAUUGUAUAAUUUAAAAAAUAUUUUCUCAUAAUGUAGUUUUAUUUAUGUACAAUAAUUUUUUUUUGUUUUUUUUAUUUUAUUUUGUACCUUGUGAGUUGGACAUUUAUUCUUCUAGACUUCUAUUAUCAAUGUCCGUGUAAAUGAGCACUUACGAAAAAUCACAAUAAUUGGUUUUAGUUUGAUUGACUGCACUAUUUGGUUUUUUUUGGGUUUGUUUUUUUAUUUUCUCCCUGUUUUGAUGCAAAUCUGAUUUUUGUAAUUGGGCCAAUGAAAAAUGAAAUGUUUCAUAAUAUCUGUGAUUAUUUUUGUUCUGACAAAAAGACGAAAGACGGGUUGAUUUCCUACAGUCUUUCUCUUUUUUAAAAAAAAAAAUCUUAAUUUUUGCAUUGACUUUCAGGCAACGCUGAUUAGAUCUGUCUUUGUGCAUGUGUAAAAUAUUUUACUGGUUAUGUUAUAUUCAAUUUGGUAAAAAAAAAAAGUAAAAAAAAAAUAGAAAAAAGAAAAUUGCCAUUUUUGCCACACAUUUCAGCUGUAAUGUUGUGUAAGGUAGUAUUCACUGGAUGCUAGAACCUUGUUUUCAAAACCACUAUUCUUCUAAUAAAUUUUGUUGUGAAAAUACGCAGCUUUUUUUUUGGUUUCUUUAAAAAAAAAAAGAAGAAGAAAAACACUGCACCACGCCCCCAAGUGGACGGGGAGGUUUGUAUUCAAGAUUUCCUCCAUUAAAUUGUUUGUUGUUUUUUUUAAUGCAGGGAAAAGUCGACAGUUUGAGGUUGUUUGCAGUCGACAUCGAUGGCGAAAAAAUGAGGGAGCGAAAUAUUGUUGGACCGGUGAAGUUGCCAAAGUUGCACCAAACGAUCACAGGUUCCUCCAGAGACCUUUAAAGGAUCACAGGACCAGACGGUGAGUAGACGAUUUGAAUUUCUACCCCGUUUACUUUGACAAGUAAAUGGAAGACAAUUUGAGCAAAGAUGAUCAGGAACAAUGUUGAGAUUCACGUUUCUUCUUCCUGUUUGUUCCCCUUCUCCCUCUCUUCGUCACUUGGAGGAGUCAAAUCAUAUAAGAACCGAAGAUAACAAAAGAAAACCAUAUAGGAAUCUGUCACCAUGGUUACGCAGAUGCAACUAUGGCAACGUACUAUAGAAUUCAAGGCUCUGGUGUGAUUCAGCCAAUAAAAUGAUUCUCGUCCCUGAGGAACUCUGGGAACUCUGGGUCCAGCGCACACACCGCCUCACCUCUCGCUCUCGCUGCUCGUUCCUGUUCUUGACACAAAUCUUUCUCUGCUGCAGGGCCGUAGGAACACGGAGAACCAGCUCUCUGCAGCGGACGGAGGCAGAAAAGACAAAUAACUUUUCAGGGCAGAAGAAGAAAUGUGCAACAGUGAUGGUCAUCUUGAAGCUGAAACUCCGGAGUUUGUAUCGAACAAAACAAUGCUGCGCUUCAGAAACCACUGUCGAGGCUUCAUUGGUUUAGCCUGAGUCAUGUGACCAAUGAUGUGAGAAG